AUGGUUGGCUUGUACAACUGGAAGAACAGAGCUGACUUUUGGGAACGCUAUAAUUUGUGGGCUCAGCUGUGGAACUGUGUGAAAGACAUCGUACAUACUGGAGGGUCUUCCUUCAAAUCAGAGGGGCUGCCCAGCAUCACAAGAGAGGAUCCUAUGCAUAGAGCACCAGCCUGGGAAAAGAUCCAGAUUCAAAAUUUGAACACAACGAAUAGCAGAGCAGGUUCCUUUUUAUGGAACCUCAGACGAUUCAGUACUUUAGUUCCAACAAGCAGAACUAUGAGGUUGUAUCCUUUGGGAUUUUCCAGACUGAAAAUUGUUUAUUCAAACUGGAACCCAAGAAACCUUCUCUUUUCAGUUUUGUCAAGUAUUUUAGAGGCAAUGGAGCCAUGCAAGAAUGUGGACGUUCUUUGAGCAGGAUUGCGGAUACUAGUGGAUCAGCAAGUCUGGAAAAUAGAGCGUGUUUUUACAUUACAAGCUGUGAUAAGAUGUGUUGGAAAAGAUGCACCAAUUGCUCUCAAAAGGAAACUGGAGAUGAAAACGUUGAGAGAAUUAGACAGAUUUUCUGAUUUGAAUAGCCAGCACAUGUUUGAGGCAUUAGAUAUCAUGAAUCACUGCUCUAUUAUAUUUCUGGAUGAAUGCAGUAAGAUGGUCAUAGGUAAUAUCCAUGGGUGUCCUUUUAAAGUACUGAUCAACAUAUUGCAGUCUUGCAGAGACCUCCAGUACUGUAAUUUAGAUCUUUUUAAGGGAAUAGCAGAUUAUGUGGCUACAACUAUUGACAUCUGGAAGUUAAAGCAAGUUCUCUUUCUCCUCAUUUUAUUUGACAACCUUGGCUUUCGACAUACUGAUUUGAUGUACUUGUUCAUGAAGAAAGUGAUAGCUGAUCCUUCCUCUCUAAACAUGAAAAGCAUUAUCUGUAUUCUUAAUGUGUAUUCUUCUCUCAAUCACUUCUACAAAUGCCAGACCUCAGAGUUCCAAGAAGUUAUGGCUACUUCUCUGACUGGUUAUCUCCACCACAUCUCUUCUGAAAAUCUAUUGAAUGCUGUGUGUUCAUUUUGCUUGAUGAACCAUUUUGCCAUUGGGGCCCUUAUUAAUCCACUUCUCCAAAAGGACGUCAUCAAUGAACUGCUGAUGUCAGGUGACGAGAGGAAUGCUCACAAGCUUCGUAUUUUGGCUGCUUGCCUAAAACUGGAUAUUUCUUGUCACGACACCAUAGAUUUGGCCCCACCACCGCUGCCGUCCAUGGCAUUGUAUCCAAAUGUGAAGGUGGCAGAUGCACUAAGUAGCUUUCUGGGAGAAGAAUACUUCUCAAAAAACAGACAGUUGCCACACAAUUACUAUAUCAAUUUUGAAGUAAGAAUGGAUAUUAACAGGAGUAAAAUGCUUCCAUUUUCCGACGUGGUAAUUUCUGCUGCAGAUACACACAGAGUAGCUGAACUGUGUGUUCCUAGAUCUACUUACUGUUUGGAUUUAGCUCACCCCAGAGGAUUCCUUGCUAUGAAAAUGCGACAUCUGAAAGUAAUGGCUUUUCACAUAAUCUUGGUCUGUAAUUGGGAGGUGGAAAGGCUGGAGAUGCAGGAUGUAGUCACACUUUUGAAGACCAAACUCUACUCAGCUGAAGCCUUUCUUACUGCUGAUGUAAAUCUACAAAGCACGUGUUAAAGUCAAAGCAGCCUUUUCAUAUUAGACAUAAGUUUGUAAAAGAACUUUAAUAAAGACUACAAUUCAG